rnacentral:lncRNA from 1 species
UGAAAUAAGAUUUUAUUAAAAAGAAAAGAAACAACAACGGAAAACCAAACACCCUUGAAAGCACAAAGCUGCAGACUAAGGGCCGAGCCUCGUUAAAACCUCAUAACAGCUGAGGAAAAAGAGUACUCGUCAAGGACCAAGGUUGACAGAGCUGAGUUAGGAGGUCUCAAGGAUUCCGGCCGAACCAUUACCCUUAGGCCUCCCGGCUUACAACCGAUCCAGAACUAAGAGAAAAAAACCAAAAAAUCAAGCGAAACGAGUAAAAUAGGGAAUAGAAACAUCCUCUUUGACAAAAUCAUUUAAACCAGCAAUGGCAUGAGGCCAAAAACCCUCCUCC